rnacentral:rRNA from 1 species
UGAUUUGUCUGGUUAAUUCCGUUAACGAACGAGACCUUAACCUGCUAAAUAGGGUAAAAAACUUUUGUUUUUAAAUUACUUCUUAGAAGGACUUUGCGUGUCUAACGCAAGGAAGUUUGAGGCAAUAACAGGUCUGUGAUGCCCUUAGAUGUUCUGGGCUGCACGCGCGCUACAAUAAUGCAUCCAACAAGUUUAUAACCUUGGCUGGUAAGCUUAGGUAAUCUUUUGAAUGUGCAUUGUGAUGGGGAUAGAUUAUUGUAAUUAUUAGUCUUUAACGAGGAAUGCCUAGUAAGCGCAAGUCA